rfam:TPA: Bos taurus chromosome 7, whole genome shotgun sequence.
UCCCUGGUGGUCCAGUGGUUAAGACUCUCUGCUUCCAAUGCGGGGGGCUUGGGUUCAAUCCCUGUUCGGGGAA